UUACCUCAUACCAUUUUCGAUGGAUCGAUGUUAAUUCGGCAACCCUCCGCGGCGCGGCGCGAGCGUCGCCGCCACAGCAACUCAGCCGCUCAGUCGGAACUCGGCUUCACUCAGUCCACGACCGUUUGCCACGAGACUUCGAUCUCAUCGGUCCUUCCUCGUCUUUCUCUUCCUCUCCUCCCUUCUUUUUCCCGCUUGGGGGAUAGAAAGCAACUACCACCACCACCGGCACCCGACGCCGUCGACGCCGACGCCACUAUCGCCACUACCACCGCCACCACCACCACCACCACCACCACCACCACCACCACCACCACCGCCACCACCACCACCACCAGCACCACCACCACCACCACCAUCAUCAUCGCCACCACCACUGUCACCGCCACCGACGACCGGAGAGACGCACGUAGUCUAAACGUGAGACUCGUACGGACGUCGUCGUCGUCGUCCUCGCCGGGUGCUCCUCGUACACACUCUGUUUUUCCAGCCAGCUCUCACCGCGUUGUACAUCGGCCUCGUCCCUUCCUCCAUCGCGCUGCGGUGUGAUCAACGAGAAAAAGAUUCGAAUUUGCCAAAGUGAAUUCGAUUUG